UAAUUUUCAAUAUGGCGGGUGGAAGUGAAAUGUUAUGUUCCAGGUUUUACUGAGAAAUAUGGAAGAAAAUGAACUCCAAGAAGCCAUAACUCAGUAUAAACAAGAAGUAAGUAGUUCACCUGUACAAUUGUUACUGUAAAAGACCUUUUUUAACACAAAACAGUUGCCGUAUAUAAAAAUAAAUGAGUGUAAAUGCAACAAUAUAUGUCGCUAUUUAACACAAAAUUUAUACACAGUCUAGAAACAUAACUAACAAACUGAUUCUAGGAUAUUAGACUAGUGAAAACAGAUUUAUACAUAAUUCGUGUUUUGAACUGAUAUUUGUAUAUAUAGUUGAACCAGAUUGAGGCUGUUCUACAAACUGACAACAAUGAUGAACUGAAUCAACUGAAAGAUGACCUUGUUGAACUCAUCAAAACAACAGAAG
rnacentral:lncRNA from 1 species